rnacentral:rRNA from 1 species
CCUACGGGAGGCAGCAGUAGGGAAUAUUGCUCAAUGGGGGAAACCCUGAAGCAGCAACGCCGCGUGGAGGAUGAAGGUUUUCGGAUUGUAAACUCCUUUCGUUAGAGAAGAUAAUGACGGUAUCUAACGAAUAAGCACCGGCUAACUCAGUGCCAGCAGCCGCGGUAAUACGGAGGGUGCAAGCGUUACUCGGAUUCACUGGGCGUAAAGGGCGCGUAGGCGGGAUAGCAAGUCAGAUGUGAAAUCCUAUGGCUUAACUAUAGAACUGCUUUUGAAACUGUUAUUCUAGAGUAUGGGAGAGGUAGGUGGAAUUCUUGGUGUAGGGGUAAAAUCCGUAGAUAUCAAGAGGAAUACUCGUGGCGAAGGCGACCUGCUAGAACAUAACUGACGUUGAGGCGCGAAAGCGUGGGGAGCAAACAGGAUUAGAUACCCUAGUAGUC